rnacentral:rRNA from 1 species
CCCUUAGAUGUUCUGGGCUGCACGCGUGCUACAAUGGCGGUUCCAGCAAGUCUGCGAACCCGAGAGGGCCAGCGGAUCUUCGAAUUGGCGUCGUGAUCGGGACAGUCGAUUGCAAUUAUUUGACUCAAACGAGGAAUUCCUUGUAAUCGCGAUUCAUCAUAUCGCGCUGAAUACGUCCCUGCCCUUUGUACACACCGCCCGUCGCUCCUACCGAUUGAGCGAUCCGGUAAAUGUUUUGGAUUGGUGCCGGGGCGGCUAGCUGCCGGUCGCUACGAAAUUUUGUGAACCUUAUCGCUUAGAGGAAGGAAAAGUCGUAACA